UUGUUGCAGCAAGAUUAUUUUUAGGAAAAUUUGGUCCAAUGCCCUUCUUUUAAAGCCUCUAAUGAAAUAUACCCCUCAUUUCUUAGUUUUUUUUAAUCUAUCUUCUGCUUCCUAUUUUAUCCCCAAUGAAAGUAAAAAAUUAUUCUACUUUCCUUUCUUUAUUCCUUCAGUCCGAGAAACCCAUAGUCUUUAGUUUCUGCACUUUGCUUUUUUAUUUUUCUUCAUCCCCCAGAAAACCCACACACAAUCUCAUUAAGAAAAAAAAAAUAAAAAAAAUAUCCAUGCUCCAUCUCCCUGCAUCUCUUACCUCUUCUCUUGCAAACAUAUGAAAGACUAAGGAAAAAUUGCGUUUGAGGUGAGCGGUAGUUGUGCAGAGGAGCUUUACUUGGAAAGUUUGCAGCAUCAAAUAGAAAGUGAUCUUAUGCCAAGUGCCCGAUGUGACCAAAGUGAUUCUUAUGUUUUCAGCCAAGGUUGGAAUUUCUUAGGCUUGGCUGGUGGAACAUUAUUAAUUUUCAAGUUGAUUACAAAUAUGCAGUUGGGGAUAGGAUAGGCUAAUGGCACUCAAGACUUGCAUGAUAAACUGAUAUUUACAGAUUGAGAAACCCAUACUAUUGGUUACAAUUCCAAAAAUAUGCUUGAAAAUGCCUUAGGUCAGCAAUUGGUGUAUUACUAGAGUGGAUAUCACGAUGGUCUCAUAACAAGAAAAGAAGCUGUAGCGCAAGAGGGAUUUAAUAUUGGCUUUAAGGAAUCAGUCCUUGUUGGGUACAAAUGGGGUCUAGUUAGAGGUGAUACCAGGGAUUGGAAUGAGCUAGGGGUGACAAACUGUGGAAAUGAGACAAAACUCCUAAGUGGAUCAGUCGGAUUGCCCAAGGAAUUAUAUGUGGUGAAAGAUGUAUUAACUGGAAUGAGAAAACAUUUCAUCUGCUGGACAUAACAACUCUAUCACAACUCAGAAAAGAUGCACAUCCUGGCUUUUAUAAUGGCUUUAGGCCCAUGGACUGUAACCAUUGGUGUAUUUCUGGACUUCUAGAUACUUGGAAUCAAAUUUUUAUGCAUUUCUCAUAAUUGUUAUGCUUGUUCUGGUAUUUUUAGUUUAUAAAAAUGAUCAUACGGUUGCUUA